rnacentral:rRNA from 1 species
AUUGAACGCUGGCGGCAGGCCUAACACAUGCAAGUCGAGCGGAUGAAGGGAGCUUGCUCCUGGAUUCAGCGGCGGACGGGUGAGUAAUGCCUAGGAAUCUGCCUGGUAGUGGGGGAUAACGUCCGGAAACGGGCGCUAAUACCGCAUACGUCCUGAGGGAGAAAGUGGGGGAUCUUCGGACCUCACGCUAUCAGAUGAGCCUAGGUCGGAUUAGCUAGUUGGUGGGGUAAAGGCCUACCAAGGCGCCGAUCCGUAACUGCUCUGAGAGGAUGAUCAGUCAAACUGGAACUGAGAAACGGUCCAGACUCCUAGGGGAGGCAGCAGUGGGGAAUAUUGGACAAUGGGCGAAGGCCUGAUCCAGCCAUGCCGCGUGUGUGAAGAAGGUCUUCGGAUUGUAAAGCACUUUAAGUUGGGAGGAAGGGCAGUAAGUUAAUACCUUGCUGUUUUGACGUUACCAACAGAAUAAGCACCGGCUAACUUCGU